UGCAAAGGAAAUCAAGGUACGAGAUGUGGAGGGAGAGUAGAAGGCGUCCUGGCUGAUGGGAGAAUGGAGGAAGGGAAGGAGAUGAGGAGUCCUUCUCUGGUGGUGGCGUGGGGGAGAGAAAGGAGGAGAUGAGGGGAUAUUUAUAGCUGUUGUUUGCUGCAUGAGAGCAUGCAAAUGAGGAGAGAGUAAACCCAAGGAAUAAAAGGGUGUUAUCAAAGGAGAAUUGAAGAGUGUCUGCUGGAUUGUGCGUGAAAGAGAGGAGAGAAAUAUAUGGCUGUUACUUCCUGCAUGGAUGCAUGCAAAUGAAGAGAGUAAAACCGAUGGAGUAAAUGGGUGCUAUUGAAAUCAGGUGUGAUUCAAAAGAAUCAAAGGAGAGCAUUAUUUGUAGCAGUUGUUUUGCAUAGGAAUAGACUGGCGGCUCCUGUGUGUGUCGAGCAUAAAAGAAAUAAGGGAGAAGGGGUG
rnacentral:lncRNA from 1 species